rnacentral:lncRNA from 1 species
GGAGGAGAGACCGGAGGCUUAACCGGGGCUUUGGUCGGGGGCUUAACAGGGGCUUUGGUCGGAGGGUAAACCGGGGGCUUAACCGGAGGUUUGGCCGGUGGUGAAACUGGUGGCUUUACUGGAGGUUUGGCCGGUGGUGAAACUGGUGGCUUAACCGGAGGUUUGACUGGGGGCUUAACUGGAGCUUUGGUCGGAGGGUAAACUGGAGGUUUAACAGGAGGUUUUGCUGGUGGGGAAACUGGUGGCUUAACCGGAGGUUUGACUGGGGGCUUAACCGGAGCUUUGGUCGGAGGGUAAACCGGAGGUUUAACAGGAGGUUUUGCUGGUGGGGAAACUGGUGCCUUAACCGGAGGUUUAGUUGGGGGCUUAACCGGGGAUUUGGUUGGAGGGUAAACUGGAGUCUUAACCGGAG